UACAGAGGUGGCAAGCGUUGUUCGGAAUUACUGGGCGUAAAGGGCGCGUAGGCGGCCAUCUAAGUCAGACGUGAAAUCCCUCGGCUUGAACCGGGGAACUGCGUCUGAUACUGGAUGGCUUGGAGAUUGGGGAGAGGGAGUGACGGAAUUCCGAGGUGUAGGCGGUGAAAUGCGUAGAUAAUCUGGAGGAACACCGGUGGCGAAGGCGGCGUCCUGGACCAACACUGACACUGAUGAGCGAAAGC
rnacentral:rRNA from 1 species